rnacentral:rRNA from 1 species
AAAUAUCUUGAUGCGGGACUCUUCCGAGGCCUCGCAAUCAGGAUGCGUUUACUUUAAAGCAGUAAACUGAAACGCAAUUGGAGGGCAAGUCUGGUGCCAGCAGCCGCGGUAAUUCCAGCUCCCAAUAGCGUAUAUUAAGGUUGCUGCCGGAUCAAAAAGCUCGUAGUUGGACUUCUAUACUCAGGCAGACCAGCCCUCUUUUGUCCUCUCCCAAUAACUUCCGGCGCCAGUACAGUUACAAGGGGGUGAAUGGAGUGUGCACCAAUUCGUUGGACCGUACAUCAUCCUUCGCUCGGCCGGUUUCUCGAACAGGUCGGUCACUGUUAGCACGGAGUGGUGGGGGGCGUAAACUGCGUCUGUGACUGAGUGUAAUAUGAGACCGCCGAUAUUCACUUUUAGUUUAUCGAAAUAAUCUAUAACUGUUUCCAUGGUGCCCUUUAUUGGGUGUCCAUUUUAUGCAGUACAAGAUACAUUCGUUACGAACAAAGUUAUCGGCUCUAUCACUUUGAAAAAAUUAGAGUGCUUAAAGCAGGCCUCAUUGCAUAAUUGCCUGAAUGGUAGUGCAUGGAAUGAUGGAAGAUGAUCUCUACCUCGUUAAGUUAAAAAAGGAACUUGUUGCUUUUUUUCUUUGCACCAAGUGGAAUAAGGGUACAUUUGAAAUAAAAGAUUCGAGGUUUGAGAUAAUGAUUAAAGGGAACUGCCGGGGGCGUUUGUAUUACGGCGCUAGAGGUGAAAUUCUUGGACCGUCGUAAGACAAACUACUGCGAAAGCAUUCGCCAAGAAUGUUUUCAUUAAUCAAGAACGAAAGUUAGAGUUUAGAAGGAGAUCAGAUACCUCCCUAUUUCUAACCGUAAACUAUGCUAACCAGUUGUCCGUCGGAAGUCAUUUCCGAGACUGGACGAGCGACCCUCAGGGAAACCAGAGUUUCUGAGUUCCGGGGGAAGUAUGGU